rnacentral:lncRNA from 1 species
GAAAAUGUACCUGUAAGAGGCUAUGGAUAUGUAAGAAGUGAUGAAUAAUGCUAACUCUUCUACUUCAGGACUCUAAACUGGAUGCCUAUGACAGCAUGGCUUGUCCACACCUGUGAUCAGAACCCUUGAACCACGAGGCUGCCGAAGCGGAAUGUGCAAACGUGUGCGCUGUGCCACCAGGCCAGUCCCAGAAGUUCACAUUUCUGUACAGCAAAAACAUAUUCAGGAUUAUACAUACAUUUAAGGGUCUGAUGAGCGUCAGGAACAGGUGAAGGAUCCUCGCGUAUGCUCCAGACUACCAUCUGAUGCAUCUAUCUCUCUCACAACUUGGGCUCACCCAGAGCGCUCAAAGGAGACUCUCUGAACUCACCUCAGGGACAUCUCUGAAGCCACUCCAUCCAGGUCUCUA